UCAAAAAUAAUUGUUGAAAGAAUGAAUCCUUCAGAUCUCAGUCUUUCCUGUCACCCCCACUAGGUUAGGACCCCCUGUCCUACUCUCACAGGACCCUGAACUUUUCCUGUCUAGCCCAGUGGCUAUAUACUUGUCUGAUUAUUUGUUUAUGUGUCUCCUCCCCUGAGGGUCCCAUGGAGGCAGGGUCUGUGUUUACUUUCCCCACCAUUUGAGUUUAGCACAGUGCCUGCAGAAAGUAUGCCCUCAAUAAAUUUUUGUCGAAUGAAUGAGUUUGGGACUGACUGAUUUAAAAGGGAGUGAAUCAGAAGUCAGAGUGUAAAUGUUACAAAAAGUGGCUCCUUAUCUAGUAAUUCAAACUGUAUUAAUUAAUCAUCUAGUAAUAUUAUUAGCAAGUUCUAAGCUGAAUAAAACAUUAUUGCUACAAACAAUGGCUAAUAAAUCCCCUUCCUAUAAUAGAAUCAGUUCUCUGGGCAUGAAGGUAAAUUACUUCUGUUCUAGGCAAAAGCUGAUUUUCCAGGAGGUUAAGUUUCUGAAGUUCUCCCUUGCAGAACCCCUUCCCAGGCCCAGGCAAUGUGUACACUGGGUCAGAUGGUUUUUGUAAAAUUGGCAAAAGGGAUUUUAAAUCACAAUUACUUGAGGCCUCUGACUUUCCUUUUGUCAUCUUGUGGGGGAUUAGAGUGGCCAAGGGUAUCCUGGGGCUCUGGCCAAGGGGAAGUUGAGUUGGGGACAUAUUUAGUUUGACUUUUGUGGGAUACAUUUAUGUGAUUCAUAGACAAUUCUGUGUAUAGUUAAGUCAUUUCUACUAGUCCCAUUGUCAGAAUGGCUUCUGGGAAUACCCCUGCUUUCCACUGUGACAACUCACCUGGUAUUGUGACACAAGGUGAUGGCCAAUAUCAACAAGGAUCCUUCUGAAUCACAUGCUUUGGAGCUGUAGGUGUGGAGUUAUUGGUGGUGGCUUCUGUCUUAUCCCUGUAUCAUCUGAAAUACCCGGAGGGACUUCUCUUGUGGAUGAGAGGGGUACAAACGCUUUGCUUGUGGCAUCAGCACAAUCUCCAUGGCAGAGACAUCUCACUGGGCACCUUCCGUGCAAGUCACCCCUCCCUGCUUCCUUGUCCUUUUGAUAUCACCUGUUGGAAUGUGACUCUUAGAAUCCAUAGGCCAAAAGGCUUGCUGCUCUCUCUUCAAGAUUCAAAACAAAUCUUCAAAACUGUGCCCAGAAAAAACAUUAUAGUAAUAAAAGGAAGAUAACAGAAUGAGAAGGAGGCAGAGAGAGAAGAAAGGGGGAAGAAUAUUAAGGAUGGGGUUUAAGAAGAUUAGGGAAAAUGAUGAUGAUGGUAGUAGAUGGAUGGUUGAGAAAGAUGCAGAAAAGAAAACAAAUCUGAGAUCUUCCUUUGCCAGCUAUGCAUGUGUGGAUUCGGGUCACAAUAGGACACUAAUGAGAAUCCUUAUCCAGAGUUGGUUUCAUGUCAGGUGCUAAGGUAAGGACAUCACAUGCAUCAUCUCUCACCUGGAUCAUGGUAGUCGUUUCUUAAUUGGUUUCCUUGUCUCCACCCUUACCCUCCUUAAGUGUAUUCUCAACCCAGCAGCCAGAGAGAUUCUAUUAAAACACGUGUCAUGCCGUGCCACCCUUGUGCUCAAAA